rnacentral:lncRNA from 1 species
GCUGGCACAUCUAAGAUCUCUACCGUGACUCCAGGAAGAUGGGACGCAAAAAAGGGAAAAUGAGACCAUGGCUAUUAUUAUUUGAAGAAAGCUGUUUGUUACAAAGCAAAAGGGGAAGACCUUGCCUGUCUAUAAAUUGAUGUUAAAAAAAAAAGAAGAAAGAAAAAGAAAACUCUCCACCAUUAAUAUACUCCUCUUCCAAGAUAGGAAUAAUAAAUCUUGAAGUGGUUCAUUAAAUAUUAAAUACUUAUUUCAGUUGUUUCUUCUGAUUUUGGAAUGCAUUUUGGAAUGCAUUUGGAAGCAUACAAAAUACUUCUAAAUGGUCAGUUUUACUGAUUACACAGUGUUUAUACUUGAGGGAAAUGAUGAUUUUGUCACAUUUGCUGUGGCUCAUCCAAAGACAGGCAUUUAGCCGGGCGUGGUGGCUCACGCCUGUAAUCCCAGCACUUUGGGAGACCGAGGCGGGUGGAUCAUGAGGUCAGGAGAUCGAGACCAUCCUGGCUAACACGGUGAAACCUCGUCUCUACAAAAAAUACAAAAAUAUAGCUGGGCGUGGUAGCGGGCGCCUGUAGUCCCAGCUACUCGG